UACGUAGGGUGCGAGCGUUAAUCGGAAUUACUGGGCGUAAAGCGUGCGCAGGCGGCUUUGCAAGACAGAUGUGAAAUCCCCGGGCUCAACCUGGGAACUGCAUUUGUGACUGCAAGGCUAGAGUACGGCAGAGGGGGAGGGAAUUCCGCGUGUAGCAGUGAAAUGCGUAGACAUGCGGAGGAACACCAAUGGCGAAGGCAAUCCCCUGGGCCUGUACUGACG
rnacentral:rRNA from 1 species